rnacentral:lncRNA from 1 species
CACUUACAGUCUUCUCUAUUUCAAUGAGCUUCUAAAACCAACUUUUCAAGGUACAAAAGUUUCUUAGUGAGAAGCCAAGGCUUAGCCCAAUGGAAAGAGCAAGCCUUACCAAAACUUCGGUCUUGAAUUCGAGUUUCACUACUUGCCUCCGGGCAUAUAGCGUAUUGGCAAAGGGCGAGCGUCUGGGAUGCGACCUAACACUCGAAGGUCCCGCAUUUGAUUCUUGGCUACUGCGUUGCAUAACCGCGUUCACAUCUUGUGGAUGUGAAGAGCUAGCUGCUACCGGCAACAGAAUAGUCUGGGUUUUAGAAUCUGGGACACUAUUAUUAAUCAAAAAAAAAGUUUC